rnacentral:rRNA from 1 species
CCUACGGGGGGCAGCAGUGAGGAAUAUUGGUCAAUGGACGAGAGUCUGAACCAGCCAAGUAGCGUGAAGGAUGACUGCCCUAUGGGUUGUAAACUUCUUUUAUAUGGGAAUAAAACGUUCCACGUGUGGGAUUUUGUAUGUACCAUAUGAAUAAGGAUCGGCUAACUCCGUGCCAGCAGCCGCGGUAAUACGGGGGAUCCGAGCGUUAUCCGGAUUUAUUGGGUUUAAAGGGAGCGUAGGUGGAUUGUUAAGUCAGUUGUGAAAGUUUGCGGCUCAACCGUAAAAUUGCAGUUGAAACUGGCAGUCUUGAGUACAGUAGAGGUGGGCGGAAUUCGUGGUGUAGCGGUGAAAUGCUUAGAUAUCACGAAGAACUCCGAUUGCGAAGGCAGUUCACUGGACUGCAACUGACACUGAGGCUCGAAAGUGUGGGUAUCAAACAGGAUUAGAUACCCUAGUAGUC